rnacentral:rRNA from 1 species
UGCAGUCGACGGUAGCACAGAGAGCUUGCUCUCGGGUGACGAGUGGCGGACGGGUGAGUAACGUCUGGGAAACUGCCCGAUGGAGGGGGAUAACUACUGGAAACGGUAGCUAAUACCGCAUAACGUCGCAAGACCAAAGUGGGGGACCUUCGGGCCUCACACCAUCGGAUGUGCCCAGAUGGGAUUAGCUAGUAGGUGGGGUAAUGGCUCACCUAGGCGACGAUCCCUAGCUGGUCUGAGAGGAUGACCAGCCACACUGGAACUGAGACACGGUCCAGACUCCUACGGGAGGCAGCAGUGGGGAAUAUUGCACAAUGGGCGCAAGCCUGAUGCAGCCAUGCCGCGUGUAUGAAGAAGGCCUUCGGGUUGUAAAGUACUUUCAGCGGGGAGGAAGGCGGUGAAGUUAAUAGCUUCACCGAUUGACGUUACCCGCAGAAGAAGCACCGGCUAACUCCGUGCCAGCAGCCGCGGUAAUACGGAGGGUGCAAGCGUUAAUCGGAAUUACUGGGCGUAAAGCGCACGCAGGCGGUCUGUCAAGUCGGAUGUGAAAUCCCCGGGCUUAACCUGGGAACUGCAUUCGAAACUGGCAGGCUGGAGUCUUGUAGAGGGGGGUAGAAUUCCAGGUGUAGCGGUGAAAAUGCGUAGAGAUCUGGAGGAAUACCGGUGGCGAAGGCGGCCCCCUGGACAAAGACUGACGCUCAGGUGCGAAAGCGUGGGGAGCAAACA